rnacentral:rRNA from 1 species
UACGUAGGGUGCGAGCGUUGUCCGGAAUUAUUGGGCGUAAAGCGCGCGCAGGCGGUUUCUUAAGUCUGAUGUGAAAGCCCACGGCUCAACCGUGGAGGGUCAUUGGAAACUGGGGAACUUGAGUGCAGAAGAGAAGAGUGGAAUUCCACGUGUAGCGGUGAAAUGCGUAGAGAUGUGGAGGAACACCAGUGGCGAAGGCGACUCUUUGGUCUGUAACUGACGCUGAGGCGCGAAAGCGUGGGGAGCAAACAGG